rnacentral:misc_RNA from 1 species
AACGGUCUAUACCUGCGGUACCUGCGGAGGGAUCAAUAUUGAAACUCGGCCCCUCGGGCCGUCUCUCACCCUGCACACUUGUGGAACGAAACAUGCUUGGGCGUCUAGGCGCCCAGUUUAUGCUACAGUCUGUCGAUUGAGUCUGAAUCGAACCAAAAGAUUAAAACUUUCAACAACGGAUCUCU